AAGGCACUAGUAUAAUUACUACACAACUUUGUCAAGGUUGAACUAUAGGUUAAACCCCUAUGUGCCUUU
rnacentral:tRNA from 1 species